UACGGAGGGAGCUAGCGUUGUUCGGAAUUACUGGGCGUAAAGCGCACGUAGGCGGCUUUGUAAGUUAGAGGUGAAAGCCCGGGGCUCAACUCCGGAAUUGCCUUUAAGACUGCAUCGCUAGAAUUGUGGAGAGGUAAGUGGAAUUCCGAGUGUAGAGGUGAAAUUCGUAGAUAUUCGGAAGAACACCAGUGGCGAAGGCGGCUUUCUGGGUCCGCCCUGACGCUGAGGCGCGAAAGCGUGGGGAGCGAACGGG
rnacentral:rRNA from 1 species